rnacentral:rRNA from 1 species
GAUGAACGCUGGCGGCGUGCCUAAUACAUGCAAGUCGAGCGAAUGGAUUAAGAGCUUGCUCUUAUGAAGUUAGCGGCGGACGGGUGAGUAACACGUGGGUAACCUGCCCAUAAGACUGGGAUAACUCCGGGAAACCGGGGCCAAUACCGGAUAACAUUUUGAACCGCAUGGUUCGAAAUUGAAAGGCGGCUUCGGCUGUCACUUAUGGAUGGACCCGCGUCGCAUUAGCUAGUUGGGGAGGUAACGGCUCACCAAGGCAACGAUGCGUAGCCGACCUGAGAGGGUGAUCGGCCACACUGGGACUGAGACACGGCCCAGACUCCUACGGGAGGCAGCAGUAGGGAAUCUUCCGCAAUGGACGAAAGUCUGACGGAGCAACGCCGCGUGAGUGAUGAAGGCUUUCGGGUCGUAAAACUCUGUUGUUAGGGAAGAACAAAUGCUAGUUGAACAAGCUGGCACCUUGACGGUACCUAACCAGAAAGCCACGGCUAACUACGUGCCAGCCGCCGCGGUAA